rnacentral:rRNA from 1 species
UACGGGGGGGGCAAGCGUUGUUCGGAAUUACUGGGCGUAAAGGGCUCGUAGGCGGCCAACUAAGUCAGACGUGAAAUCCCCAGGCUUAACCUGGGAACUGCGUCUGAUACUGGAUGGCUUGAGAUUGGGAGAGGGAUGCGGAAUUCCAGGUGUAGCGGUGAAAUGCGUAGAUAUCUGGAGGAACACCGGUGGCGAAGGCGACAUCCUGGACCAACACUGACGCUGAAGAGCGAAAGCCAGGGGAGCAAACGGG